rnacentral:lncRNA from 1 species
GUGGAGAGCAGGAUGAGUAGUUCAGGCUUCUCACGAAGGAGCUAUAAGGUCAGCCGAGAGAAAGGAAGAGUAGACCCAAAGCCAGGCGAGCUCGGCUAGAUCAGGGACAGUCUCCAGAGGAUGCACCUUGGCACUCCGAUGAGGCUAUGAUCACAUCUCCAGAAGCUAAUCCUGGGGUUGAGACGGAGUCUCGCUCUGUUGCCCAGGCUGGAGUGCGAUGGCGCAAAUCUCGGCUCACUGCAAGCUCCGCCUCCAGGGUUCACGCCAUUCUCCUGCCUCAGCUGGGACUACAGGCGCCUGCCACCACGCCCAGCUAAUUUUUUGUAUUUUUAGUAGAGACGGGGUUUCACCGUGUUAGCCAGGAUGGUCUCGAUCUCCUGACCUCAUGAUCUGCCUGCCUCGGCCUCCCAAAGUGCUGGGAUUACAGGCGUGAGCCACCGCGCCCAGCCGAUUUUCUGUUUUCUAAUAAAAAAUGUUCCUCUUAAG